GUGCAGGGGCGACUAUGAAAUGAAAUAUACAUGGGAACAGGGACGUGAGCCUCAGGGAGAGGCGGGAUUAAACAUGAGGGCAGCCUGGGAGGCCUGGGGCCCUCCACGUUUCAGACCCAGGCAGGCAGGUCCCCAGAAAGGGAAUUUUCAGGAAGCACCCCAAGCCUGAACGGAUUGGCUGGGGGCGCAGUCACAACGGUCUUCCUUAGUGUUGCUGCUGGGUACCAGGCCCUGGCAAAGCUCUUUCCAUGUUUUCUUUCACUCUUUCAAAUAAACGGGAAUUUUACUACCUUCGCUUUGUGGAUGUGGAACCAAGACUGAGAGGCAGAAUCCAUGCCCUGGCGUGGCUGGACCUAGGACGGACACCCAACAGUGACCUCACACACUGGUCUCUGGAGGGGUUCAAAAUGAGGGACCACUUUGACCCCAACCUUCCCCAUCCGCCCCGGCUUUCCUGAGAUGGUGCAGAAGGCCUGGGAAGCUCAGGCCAUCAGUUACUGUUUGGUCAGCACAGGCUGAGAGGCAGGCUGAGUUGGUGGCAGCGCCUAAGCUUUGGAGCCACGUGCAUCUGGCUGCAAAUCUGAGCUCGACCUCCCAUUGCUUACAUAAAAUAGCCCAGUUUAAAAAACCAUUUAGGGAGUUCCCGUUUUGGCUCAGCACAUUAAGAGCCUGACAUAGCGUCCGUGAGGAUGUGGGUUUGAUCCCUGGCCUUACUCAAUGGGUUAAGGAUCCAGCGUUGCUGUGGCUGUGGCGUAUCGAAAGCCAGCAGAUGCAGCUCCAAUUCGACCUCUAGCCUGGGAACUUCCAUAUGCUGCAGGUGUGGUGCUAAAAAGGCAAAACAAAAACAAAAACAAAAACAAAAAACAAAAAACAUUUAGGAUGUUCCCAUUGUGGUUCAGAGGCUUAAGGAUACAACAUAGUAUCGGUAAGGAUGCAGGUUAGAUCCUGGCCUUGCUCAGUGUGCUAAGGAUCCAUUGUUGCUGCAAGCAAGUCGCAUAUGUGGCUCUGUUGCUGUGGCUGUGGUGUAGGCCUGCAGCUGCAGCUCCAAUUUGACCCCUAGCCCAGGAACUUCCAUAUGCCAUAGGUUCGGCCCAAAAAAGAAAAAAUCAGAGUAUCCAUUGUGGCUCAGCAGUAAUGACCCGACUAGUAACCAUGAGGAUGAGGGUUCGAUCCCUGGCCUUGCUUUGUGGGCUAAGGAUCCAGUGUUGCCAUGAGCUAUGGUGUAGGUCAUAGACUUGGCUUGGAUCUUGUGUUGCUGUAGCUGUGGUGGAGGCCGGGAACUUCCAGAUGCCGUGGGUGCGGCCCCCCAAAACCAACACCAAAACAAAAACCCUUUACUCCCGGUUUCCCCAUCUGUGAAAUGGACACCAUCACCCAAUCUCUUUGUCAGGCCAUUGCGAGGAUUAAACAUGAAUGUGACAACUUGUGUGAUGUAUGUGGAUGGGUUUUGCAAUGUGGCUUUUCUUAGAGUAGAAAACAAUGAGCAGGAGCCUUGGCGUCCAGCAGCAGGGCAUUGGUUAAAUUAGUCCAGCGGCCUCCUAUGACGGGAUCCACGUCACCAUUAAUAAUACUGGUGUCAGGCAAUGUUUUUGAUAUGAAAAGAUCUUCAUUGUUUAUUGCUGAGUUAGGAAAGCAGGUUCCAGAACAGGUUGUGUUCUCCAAUUGCAUGUCUUGUCUUGUCUCGUCUCAAUUUUCUGUAAAGUCGUGACAGUGAAUUUGUUUGGGGACAGUUGUUUUUAGUUUCCCCAUUUUAGUUCACCUGUAUUUCCUAGUUUUCUACAUUGUACAUGGAGUAUUUAUUUCAGAAACAUUUCUUCUGGCUCUGCCUGUGGGGCAGGGAUCAAAUCUGUGGCUAUGCCAGGCCCUUAACCUGCUGAGCCACCAGGGAACUCUAGAAACUUUUACCUAAAGAAAAAAGAUGCUUAAUCUAGGAAAUCAUAAGAGAAGGGCAACUCUGAGUGAAUUCUGGGACAUGGGGGUAGACCCUGAGCAGGGUGAGUGGCAGGGGGUGGGCCGGGGAGGUGUAGUGGCUUCCAGGGCUGGCUCCAGCCCCUGCCCCCACCCCACCUUGGUGCCUGUCCCUCCCCGCCCCUCCAGGGCACUGUUCCUCCAUCUGGAGGUAUGCUGACUGCACGCUUUUCCCAGCUCCGUGUUCAACAGCGUCCUGUUUGCUAGCUUGAACUUGGCUGUGAUGGGAAUAUGUACGCUCUAGAAGGUGGCAAACACCACGAACCAGUGCCCUUUUCCUGCCUGGACCACCCCUCACUGUCUCCCAGGCUCUUCUUUGUCUCUCCAAGGACCUGUGUGCCUGGGGGAGCGGGGGUGGGAGAUCCCAGAGGAAUAAACCCUCUUCUUGGGCUCCCCUGGAGCUGGCACAGAGAAGGACGUGAAGAAUCUUUUGUAAAUUUGAAUCCUUAAGGGAGAUAGAGACAGAAUGUGAGUCUACGCCUUGGGUGGCUGCCUGCGCUUGAUCUGAACAGGAGCUUCUGCCUGCAGAAGCAAAGCAAAGGGGAGGAGAGUCCCAGACCUGGCUGUACCCCUUCCCUGCCCCCUGACCUUUGGCACGUUGCUCAGUCUCUGCUUCCUCAUUUGUCCAGCGGGGUUAACAAAGGUACUUACUGCGUAGGCCAGUGGUUCUCAAACUCUAGCAGCUCUCAGAAUCCCCUGGAAGGUUUGCAAAAAUGCAGACUGCCGGGCCCCAGCCCCAGUGAUUCUGCAUUCCUCUCGGGCUGCCACGCGAUGCUGCUAUUGCGGGCCUGGGGACCACGUUCAGAGAGGCACCGCUCUGGGCCAUGCGACGUCUGCCAAGUGCCCAUCGUGGAGCCUGGCCUCUGGUGAGGGCCCAGCAGCAUGUAGCGGCGUAUUCAGAGAAGAACCACACGAGUGGGUGCAUAGCUCCCGGCCCGGCCUGGGAGCUAGGGUACGGAGUUCCGGGCUUUUGUUACCUCGUCUGCCUCCCUGGGUGAGCUGUUCCUCUUCUCUGGGGCUUUCUUCCCGCUUCUGUGAAAUGGGUUGGUAAAAGCUUGACUUGCAGGCAGCAGCUGAGAAGCAUCUGUGAGUGUCCUCUGAUGCCUGGUGACCCUGGUGGGAGUGGUGGGGAAGCAUGGGAGGGGUGCCAGGCCUCACUGGCAUUCCUCCUCAUCCAUUUGGGACAGGCACAGAGGGGCUGGCUCACCUGGGCCUGGGGAAGGGCUGGCUCACCUGGGCCGGGCUCCUCUUCCAAUGGCGCUGAGAGCUCCUCUUUCAACCAAAGGAGAAAGUACCCAUGUAAUUUCACCUGGACGCCUGGCCUUUGCGAUGUUGUCUUUGCUUCUUGGUUCCUGAUUCUGUUUUGCAUGAACUUGGACGCAUCAGGUGGCUCCAUGAUAUUCACUUUCCUCUUCUUUUCCUGCUUGGUGGCUGGGCUGGAGGGAGGCAGAAGGAGGGGUGUGUAGCUAGGUGUUCAUAGCUUUGAGCCCAAGCUGUACUCAGAGAUAUCCACUCCCUUGAGCUCAUGGGCGGACUUCUGCACAAGUGCGUGGGCUCCAUUGCCUCAUCAGGAAGAUGGGCAUUCUGAGGGUUCCCAUAGGCAGGGGCUGGGAGGAUGAAGUGGGAGCUAGGGGGUGGGAUGCUCUGUGUGGUGCCUGGGGCCCCUGGGGCUCCAUGAAGUUUGAUCUCCUGGAUCAAACUGGAGAGUCCUGGCUCUGGCUCAGAUCUACUCCAGUUGCACACAUCCCUAAGCGUAGUGUAAGAUGUGCAUGUGUGUGUGUGUGUGUGUGUGCAUGAAUUUGUGUGGUGUGUGUGUGCCAUGCAGAGGUGUUUCAAGGGAAGGGAAGCUGUGGACCAGGACAGAGAAGGUCAAUAGAUUUUUAACCCACUUUGUCGCGCCUUUCUUUUUUCCUUUUUUUGGCUUUUUAGGGCUGCACCCAAGGCAUAUGGAAGUUCCCAGGCUAGGGGUCGAAUCAGAGCUUAGCUGCCGGCCUACACCACAGCCACAGCAACGCUGAAUCCUUAACCCACCGGGUGAGGCCAGGAAUGGAACCUGUGUCCUCAUGAAUACCAGUCAGAUUCAUUUCCGCUGAGCCAUGGUGGGAACUCCUCUGGAGGCUUCUGAAGCUGCAUUUGUGCCCAUUGAGAGAGUGCUCUGACCGAUUAGCAAUGUCUACAAUGGUUGCAGGAUAGGGGACCUGUGCUUGUAUUCUAUCCCUGGUCUAGUAAAAAACCACAACAAAAAACAACCCAACCCCACCAACAACAACAUAGUAUUUAAAGACGACUUGAAAUGUUUCACAUUCCAUGCCGUUUUCCAUCUCAUGACAGUCGGCAUCAUCCCUAUGAUUUUCUUUUUUUUUUGUCUUUUCAGGGCUGUACCCGCGGCAUAUGGAGUUCCCAGGCUAGGGGUCGAAUCGGAGCUAUCGUUGCCAGCCUACACCGCAGUCAUAGGAACCCCGGAUCCUAGCCAAGUCUUCGAGCUCUACCACAGCUCACAGCAACGCCAGAUCCUUAAACCACUGAUCGAGGCCAGGGAUGGAACCUGCGUCCUCCUGGAUGCUAGUCAGAUUCAUUUCUGCUGAGCCACGAUGGGAACGCCCCGUUUUUUUUUUUUUUUUUUAAAUUAGGGAAGAAUAGAGGAAAGGAAUUGAAUUUCUACAUGGUUGCCCAAAAUAUAGAUUCUGCGGGGAUUGUAUCUUCUGUUUCUUCUGCAGAUGUUUCCCAGUUCUUCUCUUUUGGGGUGUGUCGGGUGCUGAUGGGGGUAUCCAGGAGGGAGAGGGAGAUGAGCUGGCACAGCAGCUGAGCCCCUGGGCUGUGAACUUCAGCUGGUCCCACAUUUAGGGACACCUUCCUUGCACGGGGGUGGGGACUAGAAGGCGGUGGUGCCAAAAGAUCCAUGGCCCUGGCUGAGCCCUUCCUGCAGGUGACUUCCUGCAGGCUCCUUGUCGGAGCACUCCCAGCUUUACAGGAAGAGCGAAACCUAGGCGGCCUGCCUGGCAGUGGUGGGGUCAGCUUGAGUUAUCUCAGGAACGCUCGUGGUGACUGCGUAUUUCUCUUGAGCUGUGUGCUUCAGCAGUACCACCUCCCUUAGUCCUCACCACUCCUGUGUGGAGAGAUCCGAGCCGCAUCUGCCACCUACACCACAGCCCAUGGCAAUGCCAGAUCCUAAACCCACUAAGGCGCCGGGGAUCCAAUCCGCAUCCUCAUGGAUACCACUUGGGUUUGUUACCGCUGUGCCAUGACGGGAACUCCCUGAUGGGCCAACUUCUUUUCUGGAGUUCUUGGACUCGUCCUAGAGUCCUCUCUGUAGAGAAGCAAGGCCAGGAGAGAACAGGAAAACAGAGCGAGAUCUAGGCCUCUAUCCCCUCUGCCCGCUAUAGGCCGGGGAAGGGUUUAUGGCAGAAUUUCAGUAACGUGGCAUCUUUCUGUGAUUGCUGGUUCUAAAGUAGACAUUUAAGGGGAAAGUCAAGUAUUGCCAAGAUUGACGUAAAAAUGUAUGACAAAGGAGCCGUCUUGGAGACUCACCAUCAUGACUCAAUGAGUUUGUGCAACAGUGUUUCUUCCGGUGUUGGAACAUGACACUUGUUGAGUGUGUGUGUGUGUGUGUGUAUUUGUUUUUGUUUUUUUGCUUUUGUCUUUUCAGGGCUGCACCUGCGGCAUACGGAGGUUCCCAGGCUAGGGGUCGAAUCGGAGCUGUGGCCGCCGGCCUACACCACAGCCAGAGCAACGCCAGAUCCGAGCCGCGUCUGUGACCCACACCACAGCUCAUGGCAAGCCCGGAUCCUUAACCCACUGAGUGAGGCCAGGGAUCAAACCCACAUCCUCACGGUUACUAGUCGGAUUAGUUUCCUCUGCACCAAGAUGGGAACACCGAGUGUGUGUGUUUUUUAAAAGCACUAAAUCUGGUGGCAGAAGGGUUCUGGUUAGGAGACGUAUUGUCCCCAAAGAGAUUUCUUGAAAUCCUAGACUCAUCCUUCUGGUGGUGAAGUGUUCAGGUGGCAGGUUGUGUGGACAGAGUCCCUCCCGCUCCUCGUAUCCUUGCUCUGGGCAUUUAGGAAAAUGCACAUUUAAAGUAGUCAUUUUGGGAGUUCCCCUUGUGGCUCAGCAGGUUAGGAACCUGAUUAGUAUCCAUGAGGAGGGGGGUUCGAUCCCUGGCUUUCUUCAGUGAGUUCAGGAUCCAGCGUUGCUGUGAGCUGCUGUGUCGGUUGCAGACAAGGCUUGGAUCCCGCGUUGCUGUGGCUGUGGGUAGGCCGGCAGCUGCAGCUCUGAUUCCAACUCCUAGCCUGGGAACCUCCAUAUGCUGCAGGUACUGCCAUAAAAAGCAAAAAAAAAAAAA
rnacentral:lncRNA from 1 species